AAGACUAUACUUUCAGGGAUCAUUUCUAUAGUUUCUGACUCGAGAAAUGUGUUUCUAAAGUGAUUAGUCUCGCUAACCACGAUGAUGAGUCGUGAUAUUCCCUUCUGAGCGUGAAGCGGGCACAGAGUAAUGAUUCAGUUCAUAUGCUCUCUGUCAUUGAGGAUCGUUCUAUGUUUCUUUAUGGAGCUUUGAGGAAGGGAAUAUGAUCAGAGUGGC
rnacentral:snoRNA from 1 species